AAUAAUUAGUCUUUUAAUUGGGGACUGGAAUGAAUGGUUUGACCAAAAUAGAGUUGUCUCUAGAAAAUAUUUUGAAUUUUAUUUUUUAGUAAGAAAGCUAAAAUAUNACCUAAGGGACGAGAAGACCCUAUUAAGUUUUACANAUUNAAAGNUAUUANUUUUCAAAUUNAAUNAUUUGUCUUGNUUUAGCUGGGGCAGCUGAUAAAAUUAAUUUUGUUUUUUUAUUAUNNAAUUUUAAAUUUUGUUAUAUCUUAGAAUCUNAAAAUUAAGAAUAAAUUACUGUAGGGAUAACAGCUUAAUUUCUUUAAAGAGUUCUUAUCAUCA
rnacentral:rRNA from 1 species